CCAGCUCCUCCGCGCGGCCCUGCGAGCCCCCACGCGCCCGGCCUCCCCAGGCUGCCGUGACGCCACGCGGCACCCCGGUGACCCGGCGCAGCCCCGCGCGUUCCCCGGCAUGUUGCCGUUUAUUCCACCUCCGGCUCGGGAGCGGGCCUCGCUGGGGCCGACGCAGCGCCGAGCCCGGCCGCCCCGCGCCCCGAAGGGGCCUGUCGCCGUUCGUCGGCGCGCUGAAGGGUGGCUUGUUCCGCGCUGUCCGUCGCCGGAGCCGAGCAGCGAGCUUCCCAUGCGUAGUCCAGCGAGUUGAACCGCCAGAGCUGGAGGCCUGCCCAGCGGCCUCUUCAUCUAUUUACCACCACAUUUCAGCGAGUCGGAAUGGAUAGAGAUAACGGCAGGCCAGAGAAACACAGUCGUAAUGUCUCCCUGUCUGCACAGUGGCUCCAGCUUAUCUGCAGUAAUAAAACCCGAAAAAUGGGCUGCUUCCCACCCACUCCCUUUUACAGUAACUCAUGUAGAAGGCCAGGCACAUGAGACCUCAGUAAUGUACAGGUCUUGAGGUUGGAAUGUUUUCUUUCAUCUCUAAUCGCUGUACUGAGGCCCAUAAAUCACACAGUCAAGACAAAAAGCCAAAACAAGACUGUAAUUUGUUUCUUCCUGGCCACUGUUGUUUUUGGCGCAGCAAAACGAGAGGCUUUCCUGCCUGGGAAUGGUGACGACAUCACACGAGAACGCGGGAAGCGACCGGCAGCCUGCUGACCCCCCGCCUUCUCGCUUUCUUUUUUGAUGUGCCAAGACGUAGCUGGACGCGGGCACCGUCUCGCUCCUGGUCCUGCUUGGUGGAGAAGGAGGUGAUUAGUCACCCACAUGUGCCUGACUCUCCCCGUGGCUUCAUUCAUUGUGCACGGAUUGUGCGGGAGAAAUGUAGGAAACGAGGUUUUCAGACAAAGAGCGACACCCUCUUUCCCUCUGGACAAGCACUCCAGGCCUGUUUGGACAGGAAAGAGGCCUGCAGCUCCCAGAGUGCUCCAGCUAGCAGCAGAUAUUUGCACGGAAUUGCAUCCGAAGAGGCAAACCGAUGUGGGGAAUUAGAGGAAUAAAGACCGGCAAAAAACCCUCUCCGGUUUUAAAGCAGCAGUGCAGGAGGUGCGGUGCAGCAUGCCUGGCAGGCACCCGGCUGGCCAAGACGCCCUGGGCGCAGGCAGGGCGCGUCCCGGGAGCCUCCCCGAGCAUCGCCUGCGUGUCCGAGGGCACCAGCCCCUGCCCAGAGUGCCCCCUUCCCAGCCAGGGCGCCUCGCUCUCCCUCGGAAGGAGGGCGGGUGGGCGGGCGGGCGGGUGAGCAUCCCCCGCUGGGUCUCCGGCCACCGGAGAGCCAGUCAGAGGAGGAGAAGUGGGAGCGCGGCCGUCACACACGCUGCCGGAUGCCGGAGCACAGCCCCCCGCCCUGCCUGGGCACAGAUGCGGGGCCUGCGAUGGUGAGCCGGGCUCCCCUGUCCAGCGAGGUCAAGAGCGCCCUGCUGGGCCUUCUUGACUGGGGCGGCAGUUUCGCCCACCCGAGAGGGACCUGGAAGGGCCCUGCGCUCCAAGUCGGGCUUAAGGAGCAAGGCUCGUCGCUCGCUCUCCUUAGAGUCGCCUGUCCCAGGGAGCACCUGGGCCGCAGGCAGGGCAAGGCACCCAGGUCACCUGGCCAUGGCCUUCUGCUCCUUGGCGUGGCGUACUGGGGCCGUCCGGUCCUCCCGCCCGGAGGUCCAGCCCUUCCCUGGCAAUGUUACCUUUACUCUAAGGCAGCGAUGGCGAACCUUUUAGAGGCCGAGCGCCCAGACGGCAAACCGAAACCCACCUAUUUAUCGCAAAGGGCCAGCACUGCAAUGAAACCUGGAAACUGAGGUUUCAGUUUGGAAAAACCACUCACAGCCAGUCCAAGCAAAUAAACAUAUGUCCUUGGCAGGGCACUGACCAGCCAUGCGAAAACUCAGACGUGUCGUGGCUAAUGAGUCGCGGCUCGUGACGUUAUCGCCUGGCACGGCUGCUUCUUUCCAAGCAUGCGCACGGCUCCUGUGUGCGCUGCUAUCCGAUGCUCGGCUGCUGGGGUGAUGCUUGAGUGACUUGGCUCGCAUGCUGACGGAGAGGGCUCUACAUGCCCCUCGUGGCUAAAGUUCCAUUAAAAGGAGAGCAAUUUUGAAGAAA